GGAGUGGUAGUUCAGUUGGUUAGAAUACCGGCCUGUCACGCCGGGGGUCGCGGGUUCGAGUNNAAAUUUCUCACGCAA
rnacentral:tRNA from 1 species